rnacentral:lncRNA from 1 species
CUCUCUUCUUUCCAUCUGACCCUACACCUAUCGCUAUGUAUUCUUUCCAAACAUCAGCCUUUAACCGUUUGUUAGACUGAAAGAUUGUUUGUGUUGAACCUGGUUGUAGAGUCUCUUGAGUUUCACUGUGGGCUGCUUGAGGUUCAGCUUCAUCCUCCUCUAUGUCCUCAUCCAUUUGCUCAUUUAAAGCCUCGAGUUGUGCAAGUGUGUUAAGUGACUGCAAAUCCAUCUACACAAAACAGUAAGGAUACCAUUAUCAUUACUGCUCAUAUCGUUAACAGAAACACUUAUCACAGAGACACACACGCCAUUGCACCAGACCAUACGCCAUUAUCACAGAGAGACAAAAAAAAUAUACACAGAGACAGAGGAAAAGAGAGAGAUAAACAGAGCAAGAGAGAUAGAAAGACAGAGUACCUGAUCGUGUGAUGGGUUUUCUGCCAGAGAUCUGCUUCCUGCACAGCAGAGAAAUCAGAACCGAGAGAGACAGAGAGAUAACAACGCUUGAGAGAGAGAGAGAGAGAGAGAGAGAGAGAAUAACUCGUGAGGCUUAACAGAAAAUCUAACAAUGGGUUUCUUGUGUGACUUGUUACAACUACAAAUGUGGAUGCUCCAUAGCUGGGACGAUGAGCAUUGCGUGAAGAUACUCAGCAACUGUUAUCAGUCGUUACCGUCAACUGGUAAGGUGAUUGUGAUCGAUAUGGUUAUCCCGGAUUUUCCAGGAGGUACACUCUUGGACAGAAGCUUGUUCCAGUUUGAGAUGUUCAUGAUGAGCAUGAACCCAUCUGGGAAAGAAAGAACGAAGAAAGAAUUCGAGGUCUUAGCUCGCCUCGCUGGAUUUUCUAGUGUCCAAGUUCCAUUUACAUCUCUCUGUUUCUCUGUUGUGGAAUUCUACAAGAGUUUGUGAUAUGUACUUGUACAAAAUAAAUUGAAGAAGAAAAGGUUCACAUCCCCAGACACUAUUAUUUACGAUGAUUUAUCUAUUUGUCAUCAACACAUUCAUUCUCACCAAAAAAAUGAUAUGACUAAAACAAAUAUGACAUGGUAUCAACCUUGUCAAAUUUCCUUAUGAAAAUACAUUUACGAUUUUUUUAGAAAUAUUAAUAAAUUAAAAAUAUAAAAUAAUAAUGUCAAAAUGUAAAGUAAAUUUUUUUAAAUAUUAUAUUUAAACUUAUUAUUUUUGCGCUUUGCGCAGGAAAACUCCUAAUUUUAUUAGAAAAAACUGUAAGCUCAAGAUGUAAACGAUGUUUCGUGUGAGUUACACAGCCCACGGCCUGUGUUACACAUGGUGUAUAAAACAAGUGGAAGCUGUUAGUCGAAGAUAAUGAUCUAAGAUUCUAGGAGGUUUGGCCAGGUGGCAAACAAGAAGAUUUGGAAAGAUUUAUGUCUAUCACAAUAUAUAUUAGUUAGUUGUAGUAUAUAUGUGGGAUCGAGCAUUUCAAAUAACUCACCGGUUUUGGGAAUUUCAUAUCGAGUUCUAGAGAGUGUUCUGAACUGCGAUCAUUUGAUAACAAGUGGUGAGAACAUCUCGAGCACUGUGCUUUGGGUAGAUUAAGAAUUGUUAUGUCUCUAGUCAAGUGUGACGUUGAGUAAAUCAGAUUAAACAGAUUUAAGAAGAUUGUUUAAGUGAUUCUUAAUAUACAAGUUGCUUUUACUUAGUAUUGCUAUUGUUCUAUCUAUUAUUGGUAUCCAUCAAAACUUUCAUUUGGUAUCAGAGAAGCUCUCCUCUAUAGACCGCCUAGUCUACUUACAGGUUGAAAUCAUGUGGUAAUCAUGGAAACCAAGAAAAGAAUCGUAGCAUUACAAAAACCGGUCAUGCUGGACGAGGGGAAACUUUGGACACUGGAAAACGAGGAUACGUCACAUCAUCAGAGGCAUAGAUGAUGAUGCUUGGACUGCUGUACAUCAAGGAUGUACCACUCCUACUAUGGUUAUGGAAGACAAGACUAUCGUUCCUAAACCUAAGGAAAGGUAGACUGACUCUGACAAAGCUGUCUCAAAGAUCAAUUCCAAAGCUCUCACCACCAUAUUUUCCAUUGUUGAUUUUGAUCAGUUUAAGAUUAUACAAGGCUGUGAAUCUGCAAAGGCGGCAUGGGAUACUCUUAUCACUCACUUUGAAGGUAACACAAGUGUGAAAAAGACAAGAAUAGAUUACCUUGCUUCAAAAUUUGAGAACUUGCGCAUGGAAAAUGACGAAUCCAUUGGAAGAUUCAUAUCUAAGAUAAGUUCAAUUGCCAACGAAGCCUCGGUUCUUGGAAAGAAGUAUAAUUAGAAAAAAUUUGUUAAGAAACUGUUUUGAUGCUUGCACUCAAGAUUUGAAGCGUAUAAAGCUAUUCUCAAGAUUGAUGUGAAUACUCAUGAGAUGAAGUUCAACCAACUGGCUGGUAUUCUGAAAGUGCAUGAUAUUGAACGUGUUGAAGAACUCCAUAAAGGACAGAAAGGUGUAGCAUUCACUGCGGAAACAAAAGAAGAAGAUCGAGUGAAACAUAUCAAGGAAAAUAUGAGUCUCAUGGCUAGAAACUUCAACAAGAUGAUCAAUAUGUUUUGUAGUUUUGACGGGAAGACAUGAUUUUACGGUUUUGGUGAAAAAUGAUUUUAUAGUUUCGUGAAAAACACGAUUUGCGAUUUUUACCGGAAAACUCAAUUUUACGGUUUCAUUAGAAAAAUAUGAAGUUUCAGUUUAAAAAUAAUAUACAACAAUUACAAUAACUUAUUUAAUUAAUUUUAUAUUUGUAUUGAAUUUUUUUGGUUCUUUAGAUUUUGAGAUGCAAAUGUUGCGUCCAAACUAUACAUAUUUUAAUAUCUCAAAUAUUAAAUAUUGUAGAUUUUGCAUCCAAAUGCAACGUCUAAAUGUUGAUGUAAUAAUGUCCAAACGAAUAACAUCUGAAUAUAUGUAUCAAUAUGUAGCAUCUAAAUAUUUGUAUCAAUAUGUAGCAUCUGGAUACAUCUGGAUAUAAAAGAUCUGGAUACAGUCAUGACCUUGCUAAUUUUCAUGAGACUAUUGCUCACCCCUGCACAUAACCAGCAUUCAUGCGUUUCAAUUUUGAUAACAUUACCUAGAUAUUAUUUGUAAAGUAAUUUGCAUGUGUCAUCACCACAUUCAAUUUCAACAAAAAAUAUAACAUAUCUUUCAAAAAUGUGACAUGACACUAAUCUUAUUGUGACAUGUAUAGUUUUACUUAUAAAGAUUUAUAUUCUUUUGUAGAGUAUUUUUUUUAAUAUGGUAAUGACUAUAAAUUCAUAUAUUAUAAUUAAUGUAAACUUUUAUAAAAACAUUUAUUUUUGGAAAGACUAUUAAAAUACAUUAAUAACUAAUAACUCAUAAAAUAUUAAUUUGACAUAUAUAUAUAACAUUAAUAAAAUAAGCUAAAUAUACUUACGAAUAUAUUUUUUUACAUCAACAUAUAUAUCAUAUUCUGUAUACAUAUAAACAUUUUACCCAAAUUAAUUGGAAGUGUGAAUCAAAAAUAUACGAAACUAGAGUAAAAUAGUUAAAUAAUAUUUUUGAUAAUCAAAUGUUUAAAAAUUUAUUUAUCGGUUCAUUAGGUUUAUUAAAAGGUAAUUUUUCUCAGUUUAACAUAUGUCUACUAGAACAAACAAAAAUCCAUUUUUUUGAGAAUAUAUAUAUAUACAUAACUGGGUGAUAAAAGAAAUAUUUAAAAUAAAUAAUCAUUAAAUAUAAUAUAAUAUAGUUAAUAGUUUUGUUUUCAUAAAAUAUAAUUAACAUUAUUAAAAUUUAAAUAAAACAAAACUGAAUUAGUAAAACCAAAACAAAAGAAAUAAGAAUACAAAAAUAUGUAUAUGAUUUUUUUUUAAAAUUUUUGAAGUUAAAAUAUAAAAAUAAUAAUGUUCAAAUGCACAUUAAUUUUUUGGAAAAGUAAAAAAAAAAAUACAAUAUUUUAAAAAUUUUUUUUUUUGCGAAACGGGGUAGAAAACACCUAGUAUACAGAAAACACAUGUUGCAAACCAAGACAUUAGACAUCUUUAUAUGUAUCUCGCUUAAAUGUCUACUUGGAAAUUACAUUUAGAAACGAGCAAGGCAUUAUCAAAACAUAAACUAUUCUGCAGGCUUUUACAACAAAACUGCUUGCUUUUUGGGUUCAAGAACCGGAGGGUCAAUGUCGAUCCCCAUGUUAGCUGCAGUUCCUGCAAUGAUUCUCAUAGCAGACUCAAUGGUCGUGCAGUUCAGAUCGGGCAGCUUCUCGGCUGCAAUUGUGCGCAGCUGGUCUAUUGUUAUUGUCCCAACUUUAUCUUGCUUUGGAUCUUUGGAUCCCUUUUCAACACCUAUUUCCAUGAUUCAACAAAUUUCAAACAUCACAAAAUUCAUACGAUAUAAAUGAUUUUAUUGCCAAAUGAUCUGGAACAAGGCUAUCAAAUUAAAAUCCAUAGCUGAGAAGGAGCACAAAUUCUAGCAAAAACUAAGCAAGAUAAGAUUCACGAAAGCGCCUAAGAUGGUCAAAUGGAAAUUCAUUGAUCAUGGCACCCAUUCAGGUUCGAGAAAAGAAUACCUGCAGCCUUAAGCAAUAAAAUCGAAGCAGGCGGGGUCCUCAGGAUAAGAGAGAAGCUCUUAUCCUGCAACCAUACCAUAUAAACAAUCUCAUAAAGCUUAUCACUAGGGAUGUUAACAUGGGUAAAAAAACCCAGCCCAGCCCAACCCACAAAUAACCCGACCCAAUUUAUACCCAGCCCACAAAAACCCAGAAACAUAAAGGUUUGAAGAUAAACCCAGAAAAUAACCCAGUAGGGUAUGGGUUUACCUAUGGGUACCCAUGUUGCCAUUUUAUUUGUUGUAAGCAAAUCAUGUAAAAUGUUAAUUAUCUUUUGUGUGCAUAAUCAAAUUAUAGAUUUUAUAUACCAUUAAAAAGAUAAUUUUAAUAUCUGUCUAUAUUUUAAAAUCACAAUUAUUAUAAAUCAAUAUAAAUUUAAAUAAAUGACAACAAAGUUAUUAUUUAGCACACAUGGGAAACAUGAAGAAGGCUGUGGCUGCAACAACGAUACUUUAAGAACUAGGUUUGUAGCAUAUGCCUUAAGAACUCGUUGAAAGACCUGUAAAGAGGAGACCCUUUGAAAAGAAUGAAGUCAAAUCUCCAUCCAUCUACUAAGGAAUCGUAGAUAACAAAGUAAAACUUUGAUUUAUCCAAGUCUUAACACAAAAAAAAAACAAGAUGGUCUCAUAAUAUAAGUGAAAACAUAAAACAUCACUUGAAUCUCAAGCUCUCACACUUGAAUCUCAUCGUGUAGCUUCCUCAUCAUCAUCAAAGAAUUUUUCAAUAUCACCUAAAAUUUAAAAUAUAAAUUUGUCAAAUAUAUAUAACAUAAUCCUCUCAAAUGAAAAUCAAUAUUUUACCUUCAAAGUCUGCAUAACCUCGAAGCCAGUUACGAGUGCAAAUUAAUGCUUGCACAGUUUUCGGGAGAAGCCGGUUUCGGAAUGGAGUUAACACACGACCUCCAAUACUAAAAGCAGACUCUGAUGCCACUGUAGUUAUUGGGAUACUGAGAAGAUCUAAUGCUAGGGAAGCUAAAUCACCAUGGCGAUGCCCGUUCUCUUUCCAAUAAUUCAAAACUUCUAUAUCUGCAAAAGCUUUUAACCCUAGCCUGGGCUCUUCCAAAUACAAUUCCAAACUUGACUUUGUGUUAUCUGAACCAUGUAGGAUACUCCUCUCAAGUUCAAAAAGAUCCUGACACAAACAGACAAGAACAUCAUAUAUAACAGCUUUUAACUUCUAAAAUCAGACAAGAACAGCAACUAGAACCAAGUAUAAUCUGUUAAAAUCAGACAAGAACAUCAUAUAUAACAGCUUUGAACUUCUAAGAUCAGACAAGAACAACAUAUAUAACAGCUUUUAACUUCUAAAAUCAGACAAGAACAACAACUAGAACCAAGUCUAAUCUGUUAAAGUCAGACAAGAACAUCAACUAGAACCAGUUAUGAACUUUUAAAAUCAGACAAGAACAGUAAUCUUACAGAGUUCAGAUCGUCUUCAAGAGGUGAUUCAUUAAGAAUUUCAUCUGGAGUUGGUGUUGCUGAAUAGUUUGAAGAUGAACUCGUCCAAGGCUUGCUCUUAUAUUCUUUGAACAGCAACUUCAAAUUCUCCACUAUAACUUCAAUUUUUUUUUCAGAAGUAGUUGGAUCUAUCUUGUCAAAAGCUGAUUUGAGUAUCUGAGUCUUGAACCUUGGAUCCAGAAUAGCUCCCAUAGCUAAAACAGUACUAUACUCAUCCCAAUACUUUGCAAACUUGGUUUGCAUUCUCUUAGCCAUUAACUUCAAAUCUUCAUCAUCACAAGUUGCAUAUUUCCUUAAUAGCAACUCUAUGUUCCACACCUGUAUGAAGUAUAUGUUCGCGGUUGGAUACUUCACACCUGAAAAGUAUGUUGUGAUGGUGCUGAAAGGCUUGAGGAAGUCACAAAUCUUCUGUCCACGAUCCCAUUCAGCUUCUGAAGGUAACGUGUUAUAACUCCUAUCACACACUUUGAAGCUAGCAAAUGCCUUGCGGAAUUUAAGAGCUCUUGCGAGCAUCUCGUAAGUAGAAUUCCAGCGAGUGGGCACAUCUAAAGACAACCCCGAGCCACUCCUAAUACCAACACUCUCAACACAGGCUGCAAACGAAUCUUUCCUUGAUUCAGAGGCUUUCACAAACUUCACGCUAUCACGGAUAUUCUCCAAAAGACCAGUAGCUAAUCCCAAUCCCUCCUUCACGAUAAGAUUUAAAAUGUGAGCACAGCACCUCACAUGUAAGAAUUUUCCUUCACAUGGUAAUCUGUUCCCGCUAAUCAUCUGAAGACGAUGUUUAAGAAUAUUCUGCAUACUAGUAUUACUAGUAGCGUUAUCCAAAGUGAAGGAGAAUACUUUUUUUUCUAAGCCCCACUCUUUCAAGCAAUCGAAAACCUUUCUAGCUAUUUCUUCACCGGUGUGAGGAGGCUUGAUAUCACAAAACGCUAAGAUCUUAUUGUCUAAAUUCCAACCCUCGUCAAUAUAAUGAGCAGUCAAGCAAAUGUAUCCCAUAACCGUGCUACGAGCUGUCCAAAGAUCUGCUGUAAAACAAACUCGGCUUUUGAGCUUUGCAAAAAAACUUUUGAGCUUUUCCUUCUCCAUCUCAUAUCUUCUAAAGACAUCGGCAGCAGCAGUCUGUCGACAUAUAUGCACAACUUUCAGGUUCAGAUAUCUAUCUCUUGCCCUAACCUUCUCGUAUUCGACAUACCGAAAGGGCAAAUCAUGAUAGAUAAUCAUCUCACUAGUCAUCUCGCGAUCUACUUUGUGAUCAUACUUCCUUUCACCAUCAGGUUCAUCCCUAGGCUUCAUUGGACAGAUUUCUAAAUGUCGUUUCAAAGCUGAUGUUCCAUUCCUAACUUCUACUACUAACUCCUUACUACAAUAGAUGCAACGACCUCUCUUCUUUCCAUCUGACCCUACACCUAUCGCUAUGUAUUCUUUCCAAACAUCAGCCUUUAACCGUUUGUUAGACUGAAAGAUUGUUUGUGUUGAACCUGGUUGUAGAGUCUCUUGAGUUUCACUGUGGGCUGCUUGAGGUUCAGCUUCAUCCUCCUCUAUGUCCUCAUCCAUUUGCUCAUUUAAAGCCUCGAGUUGUGCAAGUGUGUUAAGUGACUGCAAAUCCAUCUACACAAAACA